rfam:Zootermopsis nevadensis contig17794, whole genome shotgun sequence.
GCCACGGUGGUCUAGCGGUUAGAACGCUGGGCUAGUAAUCCUGGGGACUCGGGUUCGAUUCCCGGCGGUGCCC